AAACCAGCACCUCAAGUGGUCAGGAUGAUUAUUGGGCCUAAAGCAUCCGUAGCCGGCUCAGUAAGUUUUCGGUUAAAUCUGUACGCUUAACGUACAGGCUGCCGGGAAUACUGCAGAGCUAGGGAGUGGGAGAGGUAGACGGUACUCGGGAGGAAGUGGUAAAAUGCUUUGAUCGCUCGAUGACCACCUGUGGCGAAGGCGGUCUACCAGAACACGUCCGACGGUGAGGGAUGAAAGCUGGGGGAGCAAACCGGAUUAGAUACCCGAGUAGUCC
rnacentral:rRNA from 1 species